rnacentral:misc_RNA from 1 species
AAGACUAUAGACCUGCGGAGUACCUGCGGAAGGAUCAUUAUUGAAUUAUGUUUCUAAAUGGGUUGUAGCUGGCUCGUCAGAGCAUGUGCACGCCUGUUUGGACUUCAUUUUCAUCCACCUGUGCACCUAUUGUAGUCUUUGGUUGGGUAUCAAGGAAGUGGUCAGCCUAUCAGCACUUGCUGGAUGUGAGGACUUGCAGUAUGAAAGCUUUGCUGUCCUUUACUUGAUCAUGGAGUUGUU